AAGGGAGUAGGGGAUAUUAUUCCCUAAUCUCUUUGUAGGAGGAAGUGCCUGGGGCGAGGGUGGCACACCCUGG
rnacentral:tRNA from 1 species